UACAGAGGGUGCAAGCGUUAAUCGGAAUUACUGGGCGUAAAGCGUGCGUAGACGGUUACAUAAGUCGCGUGUGAAAGCCCCCGGCUCAACUGGGGAGGGUCACGCGAUACUGAUCGACUCGAAGGCAGGAGAGGGUAGUGGAAUUCCCGGUGUAGUGGUGAAAUGCGUAGAUAUCGGGAGGAACACCAGUGGCGAAGGCGACUACCUGGCCUGUUCUUGACGCUGAGGCGCGAAAGCUAGGGGAGCAAACGGG
rnacentral:rRNA from 1 species